AACCGAAGUUGCUUGGCUGUGCAGCGGGUUCAACUCCACCUCUCGU
rnacentral:tRNA from 12 species